rnacentral:rRNA from 1 species
CCUACGGGUGGCAGCAGUGAGGAAUAUUGGUCAAUGGACGAGAGUCUGAACCAGCCAAGCAGCGUGAAGGAUGACUGCCCUAUGGGUUGUAAACUUCUUUUAUAUGGGAAUAAAAUGUUCCACGUGUGGGAUUCUGUAUGUACCAUAUGAAUAAGGAUCGGCUAACUCCGUGCCAGCAGCCGCGGUAAUACGGAGGAUCCGAGCGUUAUCCGGAUUUAUUGGGUUUAAAGGGAGCGUAGGUGGAUGGUUAAGUCAGUUGUGAAAGUUUGCGGCUCAACCGUAAAAUUGCAGUUGAUACUGGCAGGCUUGAGAGCAGUAGAGGUAGGCGGAAUUCGUGGUGUAGCGGUGAAAUGCUUAGAGAUCACGAAGAACUCCGAUUGCGAAGGCAGCUCACUGGACUGCAACUGACGCUGAGGCUCGAAAGUGUGGGGAUCAAACAGGAUUAGAUACCCGAGUAGUC